UACAGAGGGGGCAAGCGUUGUUCGGAAUUACUGGGCGUAAAGGGCGCGUAGGCGGCCUGUUAAGUCGAACGUGAAAUCCCCAGGCUCAACCUGGGAACUGCGUCCGAUACUGGCAGGCUUGAAUCCGGGAGAGGGAUGCGGAAUUCCAGGUGUAGUGGUGAAAUACGUAGAUAUCUGGAGGAAUACCGGUGGCGAAGGCGGCUAUCUGGCCAAACAUUGACGCUGAGAGACGAAAGUGCGGGGAUCAAACAGG
rnacentral:rRNA from 1 species